GCGAGAAUAGCUCAGUUGGUAGAGUACGACCUUGCCAAGGUCGAAGUCGCGGGUUCGAGCCCCGUUUCUCGCU
rnacentral:tRNA from 1 species